GUUGAGGUUAACAACACAACCAGCUUGGGAAGUAAUGCUUCCAUUCAACAAGUUGUAGCUUUUAAGUCUAGUAUUACUAAUGCUGAGGAACAAAAAUCAAUAGGAAAUGGAAGAGGGGUAAUAUCCUAUUAGCUUGUUGUGAGAGAGAUCCAAAUAUAAAAUACUUGUGUUUAUGGUAUUGUACCAAACAAUUGAUUUGAUGAGAGAAGUAAAGAAUGCAAGUUGGCAAGUAGAAAAAGUUGUGCAGGAAUAACACCGGACAAUUUAUUAUGAGAAAGAUCUAAAACCAUUAGAUUAUGCAAAUUUAUAAAAUGUGAAGGAAUAGAACCAUUAAUUUGAUUGAGUUCUAUGUACAGCAAUUGCAACUGAGUUAAAGGAAGACAGAGUUCAUUCUGUGAUUGACCAAAAGAAGAAGGAAUGGUGUCAUUAAGUAAAUUGAAAGAAAUAUCAAUGUGCUUUAAGUUGAGUGAGAUUUGAAAGUGUUGGAAGAUGCUUACCAUGAAGAUUAUUAUGGGACAGAUCAAGAUAAAAAAGCUUAGUGAGAGUACCAAUUUUUUUGGGAUGCUUCCGGUAAGCCCCGUGCUAUAAAGAUUCCAAGAGACCAAAAUACUAAUAUUCUUUUUCUAAUAAAUACUUGACUGGUUUGGGUAAUUACUCGUAAAAAAAAUUAAUUGCUUAAAUAAUAACAAUUUGUUACCUUAUUCAUCGUGUAAUCAGCAGUUGCUUUCACUAUUGCUAUGCUAUCUCCCGGGAGAUUAGAGUGGAAACAGAGGAAUUUGUGCAAGUUAUUAUAUUUGUCUAUUCAAGCAUUAUAAUUAAACAGCUUUUCACAAAAAUGAACAAUGUGAUAAAAAAAAAAAACAAUAUUUACUAUACACGAAAGUCAUAUUGAGAUGUAAAACUGGAAAGAUGGAAGUAAAAAAAUUCGGCACCAAGAGAAAAGAUAAAAAAUGGGUUAGACGAGAAUCCAACUAAGUACUAUUAUAAGAGACUAAUAGCACUUGAUUUGGCUGCAUGCAAAGAUUAAAUUCAAUAUAAAAAAA